GCCUUGAUCUUAGACAAGUAUAUUUUCACGGUAUCAGAAUCGGAAGAUAGCAGUACAGAAAGUAGCUUGUCAUAGUGAUCAAGGUCUAUU
rnacentral:SRP_RNA from 1 species